rnacentral:rRNA from 1 species
AGAUUGAACGCUGGCGGCAUGCCUAACACAUGCAAGUCGAACGGGAGUAGCAAUACUCUAGUGGCGGACGGGUGAGGAAUACGUAGGAAUUUGCCCUUAAGUGGGGGAUAACCCGGGGAAACCCGGAUUAAUACCGCAUGACCUCGAAAGAGCAAAGUGGGGGAUCGCAAGACCUCACGCUUUUGGAGAAGCCUACGUCGGAUUAGCUAGUUGGUGAGGUAGUGGCUCACCAAGGCGACGAUCCGUAACUGGUCUGAGAGGAUGGAUCAGUCACACCGGAACUGAGACACGGUCCGGACUCCGUACGGGGGGCAGCCAGGUCGGGGAAUAGUUGGACAAGUGGGUCCGCAAGCCUGACUCCAGCAAUCGCCGCGUGUGUGAAGAAGGCCGUUCGGUUGUAAAGUCGUACUUUAAGGUUAGGGAAAG